CUUCUCCUGCUUGUGCUCUCUCUCUCACUCUUUCUCUCUCUGUGUGUCAAAUAAAUAAAUAAAAUCUUAAAAAAAGCAAGUAUCUUUUAUUUUGCUCAUAGAAGUAACUGUGUGAUCUUAUUUAAGAGUCAAUAUAGUCUGAAAAAAGAAAGUAUGUCCAUUUCUGAAUUUGUGGCAAUUACUGUUCUCUCAAAAAUACGCAGUCAUGUGGAAUGGGUUGAUACACAAAUAUGUUGAAUAUGAAGUCAGAUAACCCCAUGUUAUUUAUAUAUAGUAUAACUAGUGGAUGUGUGUGCAUUGAUUUUAAUACUCAAUAGCGGUAGGUAGGUAAGUAAGUGACCUAAGCUAAUAUCACUGUUUGCUAUUUUGUUUGUUGCAUCUUUUAUGGGAAGUGAAGAUUAUUUCAGUUCUUGGUCCUCAUCCCUAAUCUUUUUCCAGUUUUGAAAAUGGCACAUCUGUGGUGCCUGAGUAUUUCUGUAAAAUUACUCCUUUUACAAGGGAGAAAUUUAUAAAAACUAGUGUAUGUCAUAAAAAGGGGAACUUUCUUGUAUGACUAGAUUGAUCGAAAGAGUAGUUCAGACAGUAAAAACAAAACAGCAUUGGGACAUGUUUUAAAUUGUAUCGACAAUGAAACUGUCAUUAAUGUUUUUGUGGUUAAUCUGUUAUUCUGUAGAGUAGGUUGGUUUAGCUAAUAAGUAGUGAAGGCUUUAGAACUAAGGGCACAUUUUACUUUAAACUGACUUCAGUUUCUGAUGAUGCAUACAAACAUUAAAUUUUACUGAAUGGGGCAAUUAUUUUUAGGUGGCCGUUGGUCUCAUUGAUGUUUCAAGAAUGGAUGUACUCAGAUAAAGUCCUUUAAGAUUUGAAUUCUCGUGUUGCAUACUGAGGACCUUUUGGAGGUGUUUGAUCUUUAGUAUACAUUACUAGCUUUGUGACCUUGAACACAUUUUUUUUUUUUAAGAUUUUAUUUAUUUGACAGAGAGAGAGACAGUGAGAGAGGGAACACAAGCAGGGGGAGUGGGAGAGGGAGAAGCAGGCUCCCCGCGGAGCAGGGAGCCGGAUGUGGGGCUCAAUCCCAGGACCCUGGGAUCAUGACCUGAGCCGAAGGCAGACGCUUAACGACUGAGCCACCCAGGCGCCCCUUAAACACAUUUUUUUAAAGAUUUAUUUAUUUAUUUGAGAGAGAGAGAGAGAAACAGCAUGAGAGGGGAUAGGGUCAGAGGGAGAAGCAGGCUCCCCGCUGAGCCGGGAGCCCGAUGUGGGACUCCGUCCCAGGACUCCGGGAUCAUGACCUGAGCGGAAGGCAGUCGCUUAACCAACUGAGCCACCCAGGCGCCCCGCCCCUUAAACACAUUUUAUAUCCCCUCUGAGUCUUACUCCUUUUGUGGGGCUCAAGUGAGGUUAAUAAAUCCACCUGACAGACUUAUUGUGAAUAUAUAUUUUGUUUAAAGUAAAAUCCAAACUCUCCACCAUGGGCUACAAGAUUUCUGCCCAGUUCUUUCGUUCAUCUUGAGCAACCCUGUCUUCCUCACCACAAAGUUACCCUCUAGCCUUUCUAUUCCCUCACAUUCCAGGCUGCUUCUGGCCUCCUCACCUUUGACAUGUAGUUGUUUGCCUAGAAUGUCGUUCUUAUGGUUGGUUCAUUGUCCGAUCUUAAUGCCAGGUUCACUGCAUCAGAGAAGGCUUUCCUGACUACUCUUAUAGCUCCUUCAGGAGCCCCAUCUUACCAGUUUGUAUGUUUUCAUCAUAAUGUUUACUGCAGUGUAUAACUAUUUUGUUUAUUUCUUUUGGUCUUUCUCCUCUUCCAAGUCCCACAUGGGCAGAAUGUGGUCUGUGGUUCUCUGUCUCCCUAACACAUCCCAUGGGGACAUGGUGUACAGAAAGUGCUUGUAGUUUUUACAUUGUUAUCUACACACUAAAGGCAAGGAUUUGCUGUGUAGAUGGUAGAAAUCUGUUGGUUUUUUUGUGUUGCUCAUUGCCAUCUGAGCUGAUCUGCUCAGCUGAGUAAGUCAUGGCCCUAAUAAGGCCAACAUUCUUGUAACUUCAGGGCCCAAGUCACCCUACACAGGGAGAGCUUUUUUUUUUUUUUAAGUCAGCUCUACUCCCAGCAUGGGUCCCAAACUCAUGACCACAAGAUCAAGAGUUGCUCUACUGACUGAGCCAGGCAGGUGCGCCAGGAACUGUCUUUACCUGUAGAGCCAGAAUGUGGGUCUGAGCUCAUUCAAGUGUCCAGCUGUCCAGUCACGAAGAUGCACAGGCAUUCAUCACUUCUGGAAGAGUAGUUAUCUAUAGUGUGUGGAGAGUAACAACUCCAAAGCACACUUCCCUUGAUGUUAGCGCACAUAGCUUGAUAAGGUAAACCCUUCGUUGUCUGGAAGCCCUGGCAUUCUCAGUUAUGUGAUGCAGAAUUCAGCAGGAGGGAAAAACCUCAUUUGGAAUCAGUCAAGUAGGAGGCCUAGAUAGCUAACUGGCUGAUGAAGGCAGUCUUUCAUAGGGAUGUGGAUCGAGGUUUGAAUUUCAGCUCUGUGACUUUAUAGGGUAGGUUUUUAAAAUAAAUUCUGUCUUAUUUGCUUUAUCUGUAAAAUGUAAUAGUGCCUUUCUCAGCAUUGUUGUGGAAAUUAAACAAGAAAAUGUACAUAAAUGUAUGGAUUCAGUGCCUGGAAUAUAACAAAUGCUAAUAUUAAUAUCAGUUUAGGGGCAUCUGGGUGGCUCAGUUGGUUAAGCAUCUGCCCUCAGCUCAGGUCAUGAUCCCAGGGUCCUGGGAUUGAACCUGCUCAUAGGGGAGCCUGCUUCUCUCUCUGCUGCUCCCGCUUCUUGUGCUCUCUCUCUCUCUCUGUCAAAUAAAUAAAUAAAAUCUUUAAAAAAUAUAAUCAGUUUAAAAUAUACUGUGAUUGGUUAAAAAGAGCAUUCUGGGUAAUCAGUACCAGGUAUAUAAGACUUGCUUUUUCUUUCUUUUUUUUUUAAGAUUUUAUUUGAGAGAGAGUGUAUGUGAGAGAUCACAAGCGGGGGAUCUGCAGAAGGAGAGGGAGAAGCAGGCUCCCUGCUGAGCAGGGAGCCCGAUGCAGGGCUCCAUCCCAGGAGUGAGAUCAUGACCUGAGCCGAAGGCAGACACUUAACCAACUGAGCCACCCAGGCGCCCCAAGACUUGGUUUUUCUUAAGGAAGCCCUGUGUGGGGAAAGGGUGUAAGACCAAAGGGACAAGAAAAAUGAAAAUAAAAGAGGAAAGACAGAGCUCACAGAAGUAUUAAUGGUGCCAGCUACUAGGAUCGUGAGGGUUACAGAUGUGAGCAGCUAUUGAGUUGCUUGGCACUGGGUCACUGCAGUCAGUUGGUGGGAGAUGUAGAACAAAAAAGGUGCUGCACUUGGCCUUCUGCAAAGCUCCAGGCUCUUGUUUUCAUACUGUUGUAAUAUAUAUAUUUUUAAUCACUGUUAACAGCCAUCACACUGAAAUGUUUUCUUAAAAUUAUUAAAAGGGCAUCACACUUGGAGACUAUGUUUGGGGAGCAGUGGCUAUCCCGUUGUCCUUGGGAGCAGACUGUUGAGUAAUAGAGAAGAAAGAAAGAGAAGACGGCGGAUCUCUGAAGGCCUGGGACACAAACCAUUAUCUGAGCAUCAGUGAACCUGAAGAUGCCAUCCUGAAGUUUUUCAACAGGUUUUAUUUUUUAGAGAAUAGCUCCAAAGGGUGUAUGAAGCUGGAACAGUACGUAGAUGCAGCAUUGCAGCCUCACCAGGUGUGUGUGGGGAGUAUUCCGGAGAGAACGUGAUCCUCUUGGAGUAGGUAACUAGUCAUAAUGAAGAAAAUCAGUCUUAAAACCUUCCGAAAAUCUUUCAACUUGAAUAAAAGUAAAGAAGAAACGGAUUUCAUGGUAGUCCAGCAACCGUCACUCGCCAGCGAUUUUGGAAAAGACGAUUCCUUAUUUGGUAGCUGCUAUGGUAAAGAUAUGGCCAGCUGUGAUAUCAGCAACGAAGACGAGAAAGGUGGAAAAAGCCGAUCAAAAAGUGAAAGCCUCAUGGGUACGUUGAAACGGCGGCUGUCUGCGAAACAGAAGCAGAAGGGCAAGGGCGGCGCGGCCUCUGGAGGUUCUGCCGACGAGGACACCUUUUCCUCGUCCUCGGCGCCCCUGGUCUUCAAGGAUGUGCGCGCUCAGAGGCCCAUCAGGUCCACGUCGCUCCGCAGCCAUCACUACAGCCCCACGCCGUGGCCCCUGCGCCCUACAAACUCGGAGGAGACGUGCAUCAAAAUGGAGGUGAGAGUCAAAGCCUUGGUUCACUCUUCCAGUCCGAGCCCGGCCCUGAAUGGUGUUCGGAAGGAUUUUCACGACCUUCAGUCUGAAACCGUGUGCCAGGACCAGAGUAAUUCCCUCAAGAGUUCGGAAUCUCAGAAUGGAGACCUGCAUCUUCACCUUGAUGAACAUGUGCCUGUAGUUAUCGGACUUAUGCCUCAGGACUACAUUCAGUAUACUGUGCCUUUAGAUGAGGGGAUGUACCCUUUGGAAGGAUCGCGUAGCUAUUGUCUGGACAGUUCUUCUCCCAUGGAAGUCUCUGCGGUCCCUCCGCCAGUGGGAGGGAGCUCCUUCACCGAGGAUGAGAAUCAGGUAGACCAGGACCUCGUGGUGGCCCCGGAGAUCUUUGUGGAUCAGGCGGUGAGUGGCUUGUUGAUUGGCACCACGGGAGUCAUGUUGCAGAGCCCCAGAGCGAGUCAUGACGACGCACCCCCACUCUCACCGUUGCUACCUCCAAUGCAGACCAAUCAAAUCCAAAGGAACUUCAGUGGGCUCACCGGCACAGAUGCCCACAUGGCUGAAAGUAUGCGCUGUCAUUUGAAUUUUGAUCCUAACUCUGCCCCUGGGGUUGCAAGAGUAUAUGACUCCGUGCAGAGCAGUGGUCCCAUGGUGGUGACAAGCCUUACAGAGGAGCUGAAAAAACUCGCGAAACAAGGAUGGUACUGGGGACCCAUCACACGCUGGGAGGCAGAAGGGAAGCUAGCAAAUGUGCCAGAUGGCUCUUUCCUUGUUCGGGAUAGUUCUGAUGACCGUUACCUGUUGAGCUUGAGCUUUCGCUCCCAUGGCAAAACACUUCACACGAGAAUUGAACACUCCAAUGGUAGGUUUAGCUUUUAUGAACAGCCGGAUGUGGAAGGACAUACAUCUAUAGUUGAUCUCAUUGAGCAUUCAAUCAGGGACUCUGAGAAUGGAGCUUUUUGUUACUCGAGAUCUCGCUUGCCUGGGUCUGCAACUUACCCGGUCAGACUGACCAAUCCCGUAUCGCGGUUCAUGCAGGUGCGUUCUUUGCAGUACCUGUGUCGCUUCGUUAUACGUCAAUAUACCAGAAUAGACUUGAUUCAGAAACUGCCUUUGCCAAACAAAAUGAAGGAUUACUUACAGGAGAAGCACUACUGAAAAUUAUGAGAGCCCUGCAUCUCGCACUUUGGGAAUAAGGAAAAGAGAUUGAGAUACAGUUUACAAACUUUCAUUGCUAUCAACAUUUUUUGCUGCAUACUAUUUCAGUUUUAUGUGUAAAAGUAAUCAAUUUGUUUAGGGGUGGGGAAGUGUCAGCAAGGUGUCUUGGGUUUAUUUUGGUUCUUUAAAAAGGGAAGUCUUGAGGUUUUGGAAGUGUGAAUUAUCUUUCAUAAAUGUGCAGAAUAAUCACAAUGUGAAUUAUCAGAUUCUCCUUAACCGCCCCCCAAGUCCUUUGCUGCUAUCCACUAUGAUUUUUAUGCAUUAAAAGCACAUUUCAUGUGUAUUCAACCCUAAGUAAAGUUGAAUGAAACUUACAGAAUGAAUAUUGUCAUGUCUCUUUAAAUGGCCCGUUUUCAAAGAUCGUGUUGAAUAAACAUACCCGUAUGAUAAAACGCAGAAUUUACACAUACACUGAAAAUGAUUUUUAAUCUCAUCCUUCAGAAGGAUUUAUUUAGAACUAUGAUUUGACAUAAUCUUGGGUAUUGGAAUGCAGAUCUGCAACAUAUCUUUUACAACACUUAUUUCUAAAUUGUUUUUGAGGUUGUGCUUUUUCUGGUUGUGAAAAGUUGAAUUUUUCUGUUGCCUUCAUUUUCAUCUUGUGGUUUGUCUAUUUUAAUAAAUGGCCUUACAUGAAAAAAAAUCAUAAAGAAGUGUAUACCGCCAAUUUAGAAAUUGUUGCCUUUUCUGUCAUUAAACUCUGGUACAAAUUGGAAUAACAUAAAAAGACCUAUGGGACUAGAACUAUUAUUGAAAAGAUUCUAGAUGAUCAUAGUUUCCUGUGAUAGAAAUUUUGUUGUGUUAAUUAUACUUUCCUUCGGUAAAGUGUUUUAUCUGUGAUUUCUUUAGCUUAGCCACCAUUUUAUUUGGGUGAACUUAAUGUAGAACUGAUUUUCAUAAAAGGACUAGAUUCUCUUGCAACAUUUAGGUUUCUAUAAAGUUUUAAAUUGAUUUGAAUAGAAAACCUUGUUUUAGAGUUGGAUUUAUAUUCUUCUUUUACGUAGUCACUAUGAAGAUGUGCUAGAUUUGACCCUUCCUUCUCUCCACCAAAAAAACAAAAAAGCUGAUGACUUUAGUUGAAAAAUUGUGGGACUUGUGGAGCAUCCUGUCAGAAGAAUAUUAAAAUCAUAUCAGUUGCUCUCUUCCCACUGUCCCUCCCCUGAAGCCUUCUCCCCAAAGUCCAUGCCUGGUAAUACCUGGGCCUGACACUGGCAGAGAACCCAGUCCUAGUGGCAUCUGACUUCUGGAAGGUGCAAGGAACGGAGUGACUCACCACAGCAUCUGCUAUGUCAUCAGGAAAGAGGGUCCCUGCGGGACAGAAGCUAGACUGAGAUUUGAAGUUUCUGGAUUCUGACCUCUGCCGGCUCACUGGCUAUCUCUACCUGGGGCUACAUUUUGACUGUGGUUUAUAGGGAAUCACCUAAUUUCAUGUUAUUUGUAGCUUUUCCUUUCAAAAAACGGCAAUAAUUAUCCUUUAUCCCUCCACCUCCCCAGCAGGAAAUGGCAAAGCUUCAUUAUUAUUAAAAACAAAGUGAAAUUGUCAAUCUGUCCAGAGGUGUUUGCCAUAUAUAUACAGAAAACAGUUCUCAUGAUUUCCUUGGCCUUUGUGGCUGUGCCUGUAGGACAAGUAAGUACUUUCUCAAUGAAGGGGGCGUUUUGAAAUUCCUUCCAAAGAAGUCUGGCAUUCAUUCUAAAUUGACCUGGAGGCUGAGGAGCCCUGGAGUUGUUCCAGUUGCUUCAAACUCUGCCAGAAGUCAUUGCCUGCCAACAGCAUACCACAAUCUUGGGAAUGAACUCUGACAAACUUACCAUCAGGACAGCUGAUGCAUCCCAUCGAGGAUGGAAGAAUGGAGGUCCAAACUUUGUUACACUAUUCUUAAAAGUUUUCUUGCUCAUCUAAUGGCUGUAAAGUUUUACCACACCCGUCAUGCCGACUGCUCUCCACAUCAUCCUCAUCUGGCAGCCGUCAUGUAUUAAAGGGAAGGACUGAGAAGACAGGAAGUCUCUGGUGAAGAUGGAGUUGAUAGAGUAAACUGGAAAUAGGAACAAAAAGUGAAGGCUGGUGGAGGGGAGUGUCAGGAUGCAGACCCUCCCUGCUUCGACAUGUCGCAUCCUGUACUCUGAAGUUCACGGGAAUGCAAACAAAUAAAAAUGGUCAUGCCACCCGCUGCAACAGACCUUCUAAAACACAAGCCUGCACAGCACCCUCAAGCUUGAAAUCGGAGAGCUGAUCUCCCUUGACCAAUAAAGCAAAACUGGACGUGAUGGCAUCUGGUUUCCUGAAGUCUGAGAGACGCUAACAGCGCUGGACUCUAAGUGGCAACACAUUGAUCUGAAGGGGCAAGAGGUUCCCUUAUCCACAGAGCCGGCUGAGAAGGAUGUACAGAUGUGCCGAGUGGGUUCGGGACUUCCCCCACCGAGGAUACCACCUAAAUAAUGACGAGCAGGACAUUUAAGCAGAGGUCAUAUUUGGAAUAGUUUUGUAAACCAUCUUAAGGAAUGCCUUUAUUCUCUCCGUUCCAUCUUUCUAGAAUGCUUUUCCUCGGUUUGCCCGUCAAAAUCUUACCCAUUCUUUAAAGCGGAGCUUCGGUCUUGUCUUCAGCAUGGAGUCGUUGGUAAUAAUAUUUUUUCCUUGUUCUUUUUGUUUAUACACUUGCAGCAGUACUGAGAUUACAGUGAAUUGUUAAUUUACCCAUUUCCACCCUUAAGAGCAAACUUUUUUUUUUAAGUUUUUUUCUUUUUUUUUUAUUUGAGAGAGAGAGAAUGAGAGAGAACACAUGAGAGGAGAUGGGGUCAGAGGACAAAGCAGACUCCCUGCCGAGCAGGGAGCCCGAUGCGGGACUCGAUCCAGGGACUCCAGGAUCAUGACCUGAGCCGAAGGCAGUCGCUUAACCAACUGAGCCACCCAGGCGCCCAAGAGCAAACUUCUUAAAAGCAAAAAUUAUUUAUCUCUAUAGAUAUUACAUGGUUAUUAGUUCAGUUAUGGAUAAGAAGAAGUUCAGUAAAUAUAUAUUGAAUGAAUACAUCUAGCAGUUUCCACAAGAGAAUAAGAAUAAUUACGUUGAUUUAAAAAAAAAAAUUACAUUGACUGCAAUAGUUGGAUGCGUCCACAGAGACCAUUUUUCUCGCACUAGUGUCCAGAAAAUAGGAAAUCCACGGUCCACAUCUCUUCGUGUCCCUGCUUUCAUUUAUACCUGCUGCUCCACACGGCUGAGUCGUGGGAGCAAAUCUUUUCUACUUCAUUACCGCUUUUACCUUUCUUCCUCACGACCGAUAAUCCGUUGGCCAAGCUAAAUGUCCAUUGUCUUUUCAUUUCCCGUUUGCUUUCUUCUUCCAAUUGUGCCUUCACGCACUCCGAUUUUGGCCUGCCUAUCAAGAUUCAUGCUCCCAGCUGUAGGGCCUUUUUUUCUCCUUUGCACAAAUACAUUUUUAAGCAAGGAUCAUACUUCUUUGGUAGCUUUAUUACAAUCCAGUAACACCCAGGUAUCUAUUUUCCUUAUUGGAAAAACAGCAUGGCCAAUGGAUUCAGCACUGACUCCAUAUUCAAUGACUAAGGAUCCUAAUUUGAAAUAUCACCUGUUUCAAACCUGACAUUUUACAUAUAAGGAAUCUGAGAUCCCACCUGAGAAGAAACGACAGGAAGGCCAGCAAAGCAGCUUCUAUAGAGUUGCAGAGUUCUCCCUUCAGAAGAUACCAAGCUAAUGUACUUCCAUCUUCCACUCUUUACUCCAAUUUGCUUAUCAGGCAACCAUCGGUUUUAUCAUUGUUCCUUCAUUUGGAGACAGAACUAGUAAGUUUUGGUCAAGCCCUAUGAUUCAUUUCCUUACUUUCAAGCAAGGUCAUUGCAGUACCCAUUCAGAGGUCUGCCAAGUGCUGCCCCUGGGGGGAGGGGAUGCAGCCUGUGUCCUCUCAACCUAAAAGAGCUUUGGUGGGGCAAUGAGUCAUUAAUCCCCUAAUGCCUUUUCCAAGUGCAGAUAAAGCUUACAGUUGGUUAAGUGAUGGGACAAGGUGUGGAAUGAAGGUUGGCACCAGUCUAGGGGAAAGAAGUACAUUUCCUUUUCCAAAGUAAAAUAUUUAUUUUAAUUGGCUCACAAUAAAUAGUAGGGUGAUUGUAACUAACAAAAGAGAAGUGCACUUUGGAGAACAGGCAUAGUAGAGCAAAGGGGAAAAAAAGUGCAUAGAGAUGGAAAAAUUUUGCAUCAAUCUUUUUUUAUGACUUAGAGCAAUUUUAUAGGAUUAUAAAAUUUGCUGGAAUUAGUAGCUUAGUAGAGUAAUUUUGAAUCACAGAAUUUCAGAGCUAGAAGAUAAUUUACAAAAUAACAAACACCCCCCCCCCAUAUUGUAGAUGCCAAAAAAAAAAAAAAAUGAGGUCAAAGUGUUGAGACAGGAUAAGUUUCUCAGUUCCUUUUGUGUAUCUGUGAUUGAAAAGUUUGGGUGAAUCACAAAUCUUGAUUGCCAUAGCCUCUAGAAUGAUCUACAAAUAGAGAAGAAGCUGCACCUUUCCUAAGACUGCUGGGGUUUGCCCACACUCCGGGGAUCUGGGCUGGGUUAAAGGACAGCUCUCCUCAUGGCCCUUUGUGCUCCCAAAGAAGCAUCAAGGUUAUCAGGACUUCUAGAUAGGUGGGAGUUUGGGCUCUCCAGACCCUUCUGCAUCUCUCAAAGGUUCAGGUUGGUUUUGAGCUUCCCAGGGUUCCAGAGAUGCUCUGGAGAUUUGGAAUGUGGUGCAGAGGUAUGGAGGUAAUUCUUAAGACAAAUACUUGUAAAACAUAAUAAUGUGACUCUUCUGCUUAAAAGUCUCUGAAAGCUCUUCCUUGCCAACACUUAUGUUUUAUUAUUUUUUAAAAGAUCUUAUUUAUUCAUUUUAGGGAGAGAGAGAGAGAGCGUGUGCACAUGCAAGCAGGAAUGGGAAAGGGGCAGAGCGAGAGGGAGAAAGAACCUGAAGCAGAUUCCCCGCUGAGCACAGAGCCCGACUGGGGGCUCAAUCCUACAACCGGGAGAUCAUGACCUGAGCCGAAACCGAGAGUCAGACGCUCAACCAACUGAGCCACCCAGGCGCCCCAACACCAGUGUUCUAAAAUCAUUAUCGUUCCGAGACUCUAGAGACUCACGGCCCUGGCGGGUGGUCCGCUGCGCUGGAUUUUGAAAAUUUCCUGUAACUUUGCUGUUGGGCCAGGUGAGUGGCCUGUCCGAGGGAGGAGGCUUUAACUGAGUAUGAGCACUGAGUCUGUUCAAAGACCUGUCUAGGCAUGAAGCCAGUUUUUGUAAGUAGCUUCCUUUUGACGUAAAUACGUGUUUUAUUAUCAUCUUGUUAUGGAGGAAGAUACUAAGAGGCAGAGAAAGGGUGCCUUCUCCAGCUUUGGCUCCAGAAUUAAUGAUGCGAUGAUGCUCCAGAUGUCUAGGCCCUCACCUGCCUGGCUGUGGAUAAAACUGGCUCUUACUGAACACUAAACUUGCUCUCCGUUCUCGGUAGGCACCAAGACCCAAUCCCAGGUGG